ACUAAUCUGCUUCAGGUCCUUCUUCUUCAAACGACUGAUCUCCGUAUAGCUCUCCUGUUUCCCUAUUGCUCGUCGACAGUGGCGGCUGCACAGAUCUGGUGCUUACCUGGUGGACGACGACUACUCCCUGGGCAGUUGCUCCCUGCCUCCUCCCCCUCCCACUCCGGCUUCCAGGUCUCUUGGCUCCAUCUACUGCGCAUCCCGACGACGCGUUGCACAUCCUCGUCAGGGACCGGGCCGCCGCCGCCACGGUCUCCUCCACCCCGAUGACCACGGGCUCCCCACCAGCUCAGCUGCCCAUUUGUACCUUUCCGGCGCCAAGCUGGUAGUGGUCGAGUGGGCGGUGGUGCCUCCACGGUCGCCUCCUCCCUGGUACUCCUAGAUCCAGCAGUAUCUCACCGUAGGCAAGCUGGUGGUGCUCGAUCUGCUCGCCUUCUUUGCCUUGCAGGCUCAGCAUCAAGUACGAGCAGAGCAUCGCCGGACGAAGCCACGGGCAACGCGACGAGGCAUCGGCGACACUGACUGCGGUAUUGACACCGUCUCCGCAGGUCCCUGAUGUGGGUGCACCGCACUGCUUGGCGGUGCAAGGCCGGAGCUCCUGCCGACCAUCAGGUUGAGGUGGCGAGGAGCAGGUGGCAUGCAGACUGAAUCAGGCGGAGAGCGCAGGCACUCGAAGACGCGACUCCUGAAUGACGGCUUGACCAUGGCGGUCGACAAUCUGAAAAUAUCACCGGUAAAAUACUGGUUGCUUCUAUGGGAUAAUAAAAUACACCGGUAAACUAUUUACAGGCGUAUACAAGGCCUCCAAUUGGGGUCUUAAGGAGAACAUGAAGACUGAAGAGCAAGAAGCACUAUAACUGGAGGCAAGAAGGGAGUAUUUUUUCUUUCAUGUGCUAUCAAGAUAACAAACCCGAUGCAAGUUUUGGUAGCAAUGUUUAUUCAGCGGGCAUCAUUUCAGUCCUUCAUUCUCAGGCUCGCUGUUCAUGUACACCAUGUCAUGUUUGUCUAGCCGAAUUAAGAUAGAUGACAUGCACUCAAAUAUUUCUGCCCAGGAUGAUCCACUUAGACAUGUAUUCAGAAAUUUGUGUGUCUUGUCAUGUAUUCAGAAAUUGGUGCUUGACAUGUACUCUCAUAUUUGUGUUUGGGGUGGUCCAACAUGGGAUGAACUAGUACAAGCAACUAUUGUAUAAUUUGGGCAUCAACGAUGUGAAGAUUUGAAAUUGGGAUAAAACGAUUGGAUAUGAGAAAGUUGGGGUUCUUACUGCAAA